UACCUUCCACCACAGGGUAUAAUGGUGUCUGUGUUGACGUUUAUGUAUUUGCAUUAGUUGUUAUCUUUCUGUAAAUUCAAUUAGAAAGGUGAGGCGUUGGUGUGAAGACACGGACUGUGAAGGUGACGGACGUGACGCAGAGGAGUUCGCCAAGUGACGCAUGUCAAAGCUGCCGGAGAGUAGAUUUAUUUAUGUCCAAUGUUAUAGCUGAUAAAGACUUUACCAACUCGCUACGCCCAUGUUAAGACCCACAAAAGAACCUGAAAACCAGUCAGGCAAGACCUAUGGGACUGGGGAGUCUUCAACUUGAAGAGGACUUUACGUGCACAUACGAGCAUUACCGACAACUUCUAAGAAGAGGGAUAACACAGGAUUUGAAUUAGACUCGCCAAUCGACCUAACGAACAUGUCUUUGUGGGAGGAGGUCAACAUACCAAGAAAACCCAUAUAGGCACGGGGAGAACAUGCCAAGUCCGCACAACCCCUCAGUCAGGCAGGAGAGUUCCAGACAUUCUGUGUUUUCAGAGUUCUGUACAUCUGCACCCAUCCUAUGUCGGGGAAACCGUCUGCACAUGGAAAAGAAGACUAUACAAUACAGCAAGUCUUUCCACACAUAAAUACAAAAGAAUUGGUUUAUAAAUAUGUCUAUGUGAGCACAGGCAUUUACUCUACAUGUCAGUUCAAAUUACAGUUAUUUAUAGAGCCUAAAAUCAUAUACAAUACCUCAUGCAACAGCCCACAUGUUCCAAGAGGACAACGGAAAAAAUAAAACUUGAGAACAAAAGGAAUGAAAUGGAAAACAUACAGUUCAAAUCAGAACCAUUUUUCUUGCGGGGCUGGAGGUGUAAACAUCUGUGGAUUGCUCUGGCAGUUACACAAAAUGAAAAGAAAGCUGUUAUAGUAGAGAUACAACAUAGAACAAUGAGAUUAUGAUAUAGCAGCAUAGUAAAAAUGAAAUCAAAGGAUUGGGCCUAUAAAAUAAGUCCACUGAAAUAAAUAAGUCCAAUAUUCCUCACUUUGUUCCAAGUCCAAUGUGUGAGGUUUCUGCAUACUGAUAGCCAUGUUGGAUAUGACUGAUCAUGAUAACUUCUUCUAGUAAUUCCAAACUAGCCAUAAAUGUUCAUGAGAUGGGAUUUGUGGGAGAGCUGGUGGUGGUGAUGGGACUUUUAGGAGGAUGUGAAGUGUGACAGGUUAUGUCAGCUUGGUAGAGUAGAAAGCUGGGGAAGCGUGAUGGGCUAAGCUCCACCAGAGCACCUUACAGGCAGCAGCAUGCAAACCUGUCUACUAGAAAUCACUUUUUUUCAAUCAAACUUAAUUUGGUUGCUUUUUCAUUUCCUACAAAAUGUACUUCCUGUUGCAGGAGACAUGUUUAUGGCACACCAGCAGAGAGGUGAACUUUAGGGACCAGCAGUUCUCGCAUCUACGCAGAAAUCAUCUCUCUACAUUAUCCAUGUUGAGAGAUAAGCGUGACAUACUGGCAAAAUAUCAAUAAUAUGAAAUGUCAGAGGCAUUUUUUUUCACAUUAGGCCUUAAUUUGAAAGAAUCAAUCAGAGCUGGCUGGCUAAUUGCAGUUAACUACACUUUGUAAUGAUUAUUUGCAAAGCACACCACACAGUACAACCAGAUCUUGUAAGUUAAUGUAAGUCUUUAUUGUGCACUUGUAUAGUUAUGAAAUUUAAUCUACAUAAAUGUAUUGUCUUGAUGGGAUUUAUUUAGAAAACACAUUACAGAAUAAAUGCAAAGGAGAAUAGAGAAACUGAGGAAGAGGAAAAACAAGGAGAGGCUGACUGAAACCUGUCCCUUUGUGGAGCUAUUACACCCAAAAGAUCUAUAUUUUACAGUUUCCUGAUCAUUUCACAGUUAGAAAUUGUUAUUCCUUUCCAGAAACUGAUCCUAGCCACAGUUACUGGGUUUUCCCCUUCAUCCUCUUCUAAGUCAGAUUUCAAGGUCAAACUACAGGAGACAGUAAUAAAUGUUAAAGAGCCCUUUGAAGGACUGCUCUCAUUUGACUAAUGUUGGGGCCCAUAAACCAGACUGUAAUUACUAUCAGCUAUAAUAAAGUUUGUCACGAGUCUACUGGCACGUAAUUCACCUCUGGUAGGACGUGCAGCAGAAAAAUCAUUGCCACAAGACGGCAUGCCAUUUGUUAUGGACCCCACGCUUCCCGAGUCUGUCAUCAUUCUGGGGGGUGAUGUACGUUUGGCGUUGGACCCCCCCCAUCCUCUCUGUUAUUACCAUAAUUCCCUGUGAUACAGUUGAAACCUGUUGCUCUAGCUCACAGCUACAAGUCCACUGCACUAUUAAUCAGUCCCUAUGCACUCCUCAUGUAGGAGUGUGUCCAUCUGCAAGGGGCAUCAGCAUGUGUUAAAUUUUUUAUGGUUCCACUGUGUAUGUGUGUAUUUGAAUUUUAAAGUCAGAUGAGAUGGAGAAGGGGGUGAAAGGUAUUUUUUGUGACUCCUGUAAAUGUUAUCAGAAUGCGAAAUAUGAACGCACAUCAUAUUUCCCCAAUCGGAUUGUGUGCAGAAAGGCGUAAAUGAGUAUCACAGUUAAUGAUUUAUGAGAGAAAGCACGCAGGACAUGUUACAGUAUGCAACCAAAAGCCAAAUUUACAUUCAUAUUACAGUUUUAAUUUGGCUAAAAUUGUAUUAGUCAGAUAUGGAAACAAAUUAUUAUGGCUGGCAUGUUAGCAAACAACGUGGCGAGUAACAUUCACAGGUGCAGACCAGUUCAUCCUGAGUCUGUUUCUAGAUUAGUUUGUCACACAACAGAUAGAACUCCAUUCUAUCAGAUGUGUCUCAGACACACACGCAUGAGCAACAUCACCCCUGGAUCCCUGGACUUCUGGUCUGCUUGCUCUGGUGCGUUUAGUGAAGUGUAAUCUUCACAGACAGCUGUUUAAGUCAAACUUGUUACUGAUAUCUGUUAUGACUGUUCAGACUCCUGAUAUGGCUCUGAGCUUUUUGGUUUCACUUUGCCCCGCUCCCUGUAGCCUGCCGGGUAAACACAACAAAAUCAUUGAAUGAAUUUAUACAUUAAAAAACAUGCUGAUUUCUUCGAGAUAGCCCCACAUGAAAGCCACUUUUGUCUAGUAGAUUUCUAGACAGAGGAGAGAGAGAGAAAGUCUGUAUGGGACCCAGAUUGGCCUAAUGCUCCAAUAUUCACGCCUUGGGUUGAAUACAAAGUGAAAAUAUACAAAUGAAGAUGUACAGCAACAAUCCCCCCACCCCACCUGGGGGACACAGCCUCCAUGCCAGGCCUCUUGAUCCACAGGAAACACUGUGUAAGAUUAAAAAUGGGAGGAAUCUUCUACAGAUUGUGGUUUUUUUUUUCGAGUGAC